AUUGGGAAUUAUUAAACCCAAAGGCAUAAUGAAAGUAAAGAUCCAAUUUUAUGGAUAUGAGGAGAGAUCAUGGCUUUAAGUCUUGAUAUUCCGUAAGGUUUAUUGAGUAAAGUAUGCGCAUCUCCUGGAUGUCUUAACCUCUGAAGGUAGGGCAUACCUAGAGCAUACACGUUGGGACCCGAAAGAUGGUGAACUAUGCCUGGUCAGAACGAAGUCAGGGGAAACCCUGAUGGAGGUUCGUAGCGAUUCUGACGUGCAAAUCGAUCGUCGGAACUGGGUAUAGGGGCGAAAGACUAAUCGAACCAUCUAGUAGCUGGUUCCCUCCGAAGUUUCCCUCAGGAUAGCUGGCGCUUAUACCAGUCUCAUCCGGUAAAGCGAAUGAUUAGAGCCUUGGGGCCGAAACGACCUCAACCUAUUCUCAAACUUUAAAUGGGUGAGAAGUUAGGCUUGCUUGAUUUGAAGUUCUAACAAUGGAUGGUGAGUGCCAAGUGGGCCACUCUUGGUAAGCAGGACUGGCGCUGUGGGAUGAACCAAACGUUGAGUUAAGGCGCCCGAAUCGACGCUCAUGAGAUCCCAUAAAAGGCG
rnacentral:rRNA from 1 species